CUGACGAGUCCCAAAUAGGAUGAAACACGCGUC
rfam:Schistosoma mattheei strain Denwood, Zambia genome assembly, scaffold: SMTD_scaffold0001164